UUCCAGGGUGCAAACGCUGGGGUGAGUACCAUCAGGGCUGCUUGUGUCUAGUGAGGAACUAAGAGUAAUCAACCAAGCACCUGCCAGCCAGCAUCCCUCCCCACAGGAGUCAGGGUCCAUCAAUAAAUAUUUUCUUCCUGGGUGCAUGUGUGUAUAUGUGUGUGUAUAUAUAUAUAUAUAUAUAUAUAUAUAUAUAUAUAUGUGUGUGUGUGUGUGUGUGUGUGUGUGUGUGUGUGUGUGUGUAUAUAUUCAAUAUAUAACACAGGCUAGCACUGAACUUGGGAAACCCCUGUGUCUACCUCACAAGUGCUGGGAUUACAGCCAUUAUUCCUGGUUCAUGCAAAAGUAUUUUGCAACUUAUGCCCCAGGAAUUUCUUUUCAAAAUGGGGGUUAAACAAUAUAUUCCCCAACUACAAGCAUGAAUCUCAGGACCCCAUUUGACAGAACAGUGGCCUCCCUAACUUCUCUGCCUUUCAUGAAAGGGAGAAAGGGUACUUCAUAUAAAGACUGUCAGGCAGCUUUGACCACCUGCCUGAAUAGGGAGAAAAGAAAACAAACUGGUUAUGUUUCUCCAUCCUCUGGACCUAAUGACACCAGGCUACAGUGACUAUCUCAAAGCAGGUAACAUGCACCACCUUCCCAACCCCUACUGGCUCGCCCCACAACAAACCUAUCAAUCCCAGGUAGAGGAAGAGGAGGAGACAGCACUACCAGGUAACUGCAGCCCUCUCUGCUUGAAUGGAGCUUUAGUCUGGGCUUCAUGCAUCAUCUGCAGAGGGCAAGUUGCCACUUGGACAAAGGCACAGCUAGUGACGCUAGUCUUUCAUCUCACAGAGGCCAGAAUACCGCCCAAAAAUGUUGAUUUAUAAAGCUCAUCAAGGGCACUGCAGUGUCUGAGUCACAGUUGGCCAUGAACAACUGAAUAAGGAAGGCAUUUAAAAACACAACAAAAUAAAAACAAACAAACAAACAAACAAACA
rnacentral:lncRNA from 1 species